GCGGCGCGCUCGGAAGGGAGCCGUCCCUGCCUACGGCACGUGGGGUAGAGGGGAAUGGGCCGUUCCGAGCCAAUCCGUUCUGUAGUUCUGUGCCGCUGACCCUCCGAAUGACUGUCGUUUCAAACAUCCCUAUAAAUAUAUACACGCAGAAACAUUUCUGCGGAUCUGCCGUACCGCUUGCCUCUAAAUGCCACAAAGUUUCUAUAUUUACCGGCGUUGACUGUGGCCUCCAAUAAAUCAGUCCCGGGCAGCAAGUAAUCCCACCUGCACCGUGCUCUGCCGACCGUGCCUGCGCAUGUGUGAGAUCCACAUUGGAGACCUCGAUCCCCACCGCUUUGUUUGAUGCGAGAACACGUUGUGCAUUUUAUUUUCAGCAGGUUUUGCUUUGAUAGUAUGGGCUCAGAGGGUGACGCUGUUACUUAUUGCUGCGGGAAAAAGUUUUUCGUCUUUACUGUUAUCAAGGACGUAGUCCCGCUCCCCUUUAAAUCAAUACCUUGAAUAAAAAGUCCCCCCGGUGAGCAAAGCUUUUUUUCUUGGAAAAAGUCUAUUGAUGCCAACAGGUAAAAGACCUCUUCAAGGUGCCAGCCAUACCGCUCAGCAUUGCAAGGCUACCGAUGAAAGCUUAUCAGAAAGCAAAAACUACACUACACUUGCACUCGAAAACACUUUGAUACACCCACAGAAAUAACGACGUAAACAAAUAAUAGUAAUGUAGACGCGUAUGGGAACGGCUGCAUCAGGGCCUGAACCUCCCAUUGAUCACUUGAAGGGAGCACAGAAUCAGCCACGGGAGCACAGGUGAAGGCAAUUCAGCUGUGCUGCUGGAAGGGGUGGAGCCUGGCUGCACCUCUCCCAGACCCAUUUAAGAGCUGGCUACCAGUGGGGAAGGUUUUCUUUCUGGAGGUUCCUCCUUUGCAGUUUUGCGAUGAGCCCUGGAUGUGGUUCAGAGUUUUGCAGAACUGAGAAGUGAUGAAAGGGCAGGGACCUGGCCCUUUGUGUUGGAACUGUUGCAAAAACUAGAUGGCAGACGUGGGAGGGGGCUCGCGGGACGCCCUAUGCUGCUACUCUACUAUGGAGAGCAGUUUUGGCAAAAAAAUCUGUAGGUGAAGGCAGUAACCACCCUCUGCUAUGAUAGAAAGAAAGUCCUGAAAGACUGAAUGGAAGGAUUUGUGGUCAUCGGGGUGCAAAAGUGGAAAUUACAAGUGCAAACGAGGCUACUCUGCAACAAAGCUAAGACUGCUUUCUAAGCUCUACGGCGUAACAAUUUUCCAGUCCUACUUCAUACAGAUACCACAAGUGAAGCAAGAUGCAGAAUGAUAAACGUUAUUUGAUUCCUCUAAGGAAAAAAAGACAUGAAAAGCAUGAUGUAAAGCACCAGAGCUCAACGCACCACAGCAGUGCCAGUCUUCGCUUACAAAUUAAUCAGCAACUCCUCUUGCUCUCUCCCAAAUAAAAGGCGUUUAUGUAACCCUUGCAUAACCUGCAGGGCACAACAACACAGCAGCUGCCUCGGGUUCAGAAGCAGACAGCAGUACUCAGAAUUCAGAGAGGUACGGCUCACUGCUUGGUCUGCAAACCAGCGAAGCGCCUCUCCUUCCCUUCCUUCACGAUGGUACAGCAAUUGCAGAAGUGAUGCGUCUCCACCAGGGUGUUAUUUGUCUGCUUUUUUUUCUUUGUGCUUAGUCUCUUCAGUGUUUUCAGGGGGAGUGACAGCAGGGGGGUUUUGUCAUCUGCUGCUGCCCGUGACCCGCGCAAGGUUCCACAAGGGUAACAGCUAAGUAGGAGAAACGUCCUUUGUACUUGAUGGAAUAGAAAGGUACCGAUGAAGAGUCACACCUGAUCGUUGCGUUAAAUAUAUACUUACACUUGUAUUUAAGUGUACUUGUGUGAACGGCCACGCUAGUUCGGCUCCUCGUAUCUGCUGUGCUUUUGGUCUGUGGCAGACCAGUCAUGAGGUGCCAUUCCAGCGAUAGAAGUUUGAAAGCUUAAAGUUCAAGGAAGGCAGCGACCUGGAGCAAAUGCCCCCCUCCACCUCUAAAACAGAAAACAAAUUACUGAGGACGUGAAUAAAGAAAGGAUGCUGUUUUAUACCAGGGUGUUAUCCACUAAAAUCCACUUUCGCAGCAACGAACUCCUGUUUCCGACUCGAAGGUAUCAAUAAAAAGCUAUUUCUGAAAUUACUUCAAUAUUUGCGUAUCUAAAAAUAAAAAUAAAAGCUGUAACUUCUACUCAUCACUGCCACAGUAUUUAGUCUGCUGACUGAGGCUGCAAGAGUUUGAAAUGCCCUGGGUGAAUAAAGCAUUGUGGACUUUUGGAUGGGGAAGAGAAGGCUGCUGAACUUUUCUACCCUGCCUUCCAUCCGGACCUGAGAAAAACAGCAGGUGUUUCCCUCUCAAACUGUUUCUUUUUCUUUUUUUUUUUUUUAAAACCUACAAUAAAAGCAUUGCUCAAAUCCCCACCUGGGGUCUUUUGUAGACUAGAAAACUGACUGAGGGCCUUUUUCCAUAUGCAUAUAGAUGCAGCUUUUAGGGAAAGAGUGACAUUUCUACACCCAUGCUGUCCUUUUCCAUUCUUACUCCUGACGUAGUCACAUCUUUUCCCCUACUGGCUUUUCCCCUACUGGCCUUCCUCCAUUUUAGGAGACACCCCCACGCUUGCAACCCAUUGGCGUGACGGGGCUGCCUGCGUCACAGCCAGCUGACAAUGAAGGGAACUCCAAACGCCUGCUGUCCUCCCAGGGAUCGUUUGCUGCAAGGCUGCUGGGUAUCGGAGCGGGACGCUGAACCCUACAAGGAAACGCUGGCACUCGUUCACAAACAGAACUCAGCAUUUUUAUUCGUUGAUUGACUUCCUGCCAGUUUUUGUUUUUUUUUUUUUUUCUUUGAUAUCUGCUAUCACCAGAGAAGAGCAUAAAAACACAGUACAACAUUAUCGACAGGUUAGGAAGGCUGGAAGGGAAAGCAGAUCCCAGUACAUUGGCGAGUAACUCGGCAGAGUUGAUAACUUAAGAUUUUUGAAUGGAUCAGCAAUGAAGCAAUAAAUAUGCUGCCACACUGAACCAACAAGAGGACUUUUGCUAAAUUUGUGAUUUAUUGCAUUACAUUUUAUAACUGAACGUAUCCAUCAUCAUACAUUUGAUCACCCACAAGGCAAAUGACACUUUUUCAUACGUUAUGUGCUAAAUGGCUAAAGUUAUGCAGUAGCUGAACCGGGCUAGAACUAGUAGAGGUAGAUACUGAAUGGGCAGUGCCAGGCAGAAAUAUUUUGUCCCAGUACUUUUUACCUUUUGUUAUGAACAAUUAGCAGAUGCAACAUUUUCAAUUAAAACAACAAACAUCUUAGGGAAGCUACUCUAAGAUGCUUUGAAUUCGCUAGUGACGUUUACCUCGACAUACUUCGUUGUUAUGGUCCCUUGUAAAUUGGACAACCUUCAAGCUCUGGGUUUUCUGCCGCGAUUUACCUGGAGACCGACGCGCAAAGCUGGAAUCUUUGUGAACGUGCUAUUCUUCGCUGGAACCGCUCUAGAAGUAAUACACACGUACAGCUUCCAGGACACAGGAGACUGCAUUUAGAUUAUUUACAGUUUCAGUAAUCAUUCCAGCAACAAAAAACCAAACCAAACCCUACUUUGAUGCUUAAUCUAAACCAGAAUUUCUAUUACGCUGCCUCCUUGUAACUCCCUUCAGUCUCCUUUUGCCAAGAUGCUGUAUCAGCUACUCUUGGCCGUUCUCAUUGCUGGCUGUGUGCUCUGACAAAGUCUCUGCCCCGAAACAGGCUUUGAAACUGGCACGUGCAGCUUACAUUUCCAGGAAGUAUCUCCUUCCACCACCAGAGCGGUUCCUAACCAGAACUUUCCUGGAAGCAACGGUCUUUUCCAGCCUCAGCAACCGUCUUCUUCCACCUGGAACAGCGCCCGCUGCUAGCACGCUCACGGACCGUUCUGUUCCUCCCCGACACUGCCAUCUAAUUAGACUACAUCUGCAUCACAUUCCUCCGCAGCAUCCCAGAGCAGCAGGUCAGGCUGUACUCAGUUACCAGACGAGCCCAACUUUCACUUCCAUACGAUAGGAACUAUUGUAUUUUAUCCAUCAGGUACGUGCCCCAUUUUUAGAGCAAAUUUCCUAGAGGGGGAAGAGAGGGAAACGAUUUUGAAGCUAGCUAGCUGCUAGCACAAAACGCUUACAAAACAUUUAAAGCGAUCGCAAAAAGGAGAACAAGUAUUCUUUACUCAGGUCUACUGAGCUGCAUUACCCUAUCAGAUGUUGUAGCACGAGUGACGAAUGUCUGAAGUGCAGCUGUGGUACGUGGGGUGCUAGCGCUACGCGAACGAUGGCACCGCUGCUCAAGCCCUCAAAGGCGUAACCUAAGACCGAGUCCUUCCAUUUGGUACGUAGGAACUUGCUCACGUGGCGGCGAGAUCGCGAUCUCACCCUACUCUCGCUGCUGUUUCCCUUCGGUAAAUAAAAACAACUACAGUAAGGUGUUACACCAACUUUCAGGGGCUGCUGUACAGCUGAGCGCCUCCAAACCUGUAAAAACAAACCGAACGCUAAAGGAAGAUCUGUUAGGCUAACGACACGCGCCUCAUCAAACGCUCCACAAAGAUCGACUAGGCUAACAUUGUCUCCCUCAUCUAGCCCUGCCGAUCUUCCCGAGAACCUCAGAACCUUCUCCUUACGCUAGGGAAACAACCGAGUGAGACUUCAUUCUGUACUGACACCGGGAACGUCCUCUCCCUGCAGUCACGCUAGCAUUAAGACCUCGUCCGAAAAGUGUAACCAUAGGAGAUGCGGAGGCUUUUAAGGCAUUGUAAACGCAAAGGCGUGAGAUUUGUUACGGAGUAGCUCCUUCCAAGAACGUUUCGUCUGUUCGUACACACCUACCAUCCCGAUGUGCCUGAACGCUCUGCUCUCCCUACUAUCUUAGCGCCUCUUUUACUUACGUACAUUCUGAGUCCAUUUCCCGUUGAGUUAUGCAACAUGCGUGAACCCAAGCUGCAGUUUUGUCUAAGGAAAACGUAUGGUUCGAGUCCCAGCCGUCCUACCCCUCCCCUCCACCCCCCAAAGAAAAACAACCCCAACAACAAGGACCAAAAACCGAUAUCCACGUCAUGCGACGUCAGCCGUGGCUCCACUAACGGCAAAAGGAUGUCGCUUCAGGGGAAGCUGUGAAAUACUAAACCAGAAUUUGCCGCUAAUAAGCAGUUCUAGAUGGCUCUGACUGCAACUGCAGCUCAUCCGCCUUGGCAGCUGAACACCGGCAUCUGCCAUUUAUCUCCGUACGGAAAGGGAAGUUUUCACUGCAGCACGACGCUGUGCUGCUACUUCACAAAAGAUGCGCUCCGGUGGGUUAUAACUGUGUCUCCAACUCUUAUAAGCACCUCCCUGGCCAUCAACUGCACACCUGAGAAGUGCGGAGAUGAAGCGGUAAGAAUUCCUACGCCAAUUAAAAUAACCUUCUAGGUCAGGGAAACUCUCUACUUCCCUGCCCGAAUCUCCGCUCUUCCGGAAGGGAACGAGGAACUGAUCCGAAAGCAUCCCUUCUGAAGCACAAUGAACACCUUUGGAAGUCUCAGGGGGAAUCGGAACGGAUAUGUAGAUGAGGUUUCUGGAAGGCCCGUACAAAUAUCCUUUCCCGCUUGCAUCAUGAAGGAUAACGAUCCUGCUUUGAGUUCAUCUAUUUUGAUGCAAAAACAGGUGCGGAACAAGUUAAACACACGAUCCCGUUUAUAAGCGGCAUCCAAACCGCAUUUGGAAAAAAGAAAAUCGCUCGAUGCUAGUCAUGAACCGUUUAAAAAAGCGAGCAUUUAUCUGCCUCCAGCUAAGCGUCAGAAGCCAAGAGAACAGCAGCCAUACUCAAAGAGGCAAGGCCAAGAGCUCGUAGCUCGCGUAGGCAAGACUGAACCGUCUUCGGUGCUUGCAGAAGGCAUGCAGUCCGAGUAUCUCAGGCCACAGAAAAGACCGAGAUCUAGACGUUAAAGAGCAAUUGGAGGCUCUACAGGCAUUCUAGACCUCUGAAGCCCGGCGGAUUAAAUAGACAAAUACAGCGAUACAACAUAUAUUUCCAACGUGAACUACGCCACAAACAUACGAGAGGACCAUCUAACCGAGAAAAGAAAGGGUUGCCAAACGCGCAAGCAAAAACUGACGCAACUACAAACCUCAGGAAACCUUCCCAGAUUUCUGACCUGUACCAUCGAUCACUGACAUCUGUUACGUGGUAGAGGAAGGCUGCGUAUCCACACGACGGAUACUCUCUGACCGAACUCCUGCAGCAAAGAAGGCACUCGCUUUGUAAGCUGUAGCUUAUUUUCUGCUCUGCUUUAGGAUAAACCUAUUAAAAAAACAACAUUUGGGGACGUAUCUAUAAUAUUAACACAGUAGACUCGCUGAACGUAGCUUGACUCGGAAAAUAAUCUUCCACAGAAAACCGGUGGAACGAAAAAGCCAAGCGGAAAAGCAUUCUGCGUUAUAGGACUAGCCAGACAUUCAGUAUUGACGUAAUUCGUUCGCGCUUUCUACUCAACAUCCGCCCAUCGGCAGUGACGCGAUCAGCGUAACCCGACAGCGUAGUAAGCCGACCCUGAGCUGCGCUCCUGGGAACCCGUUCGUUUUCAAAGUACAACAGAGAUUGGUUUAAAUAUUCACACGAGUGUUUUUCAAAACGUUUUAUUGCAUCGUAUUUGGUACCUUAUGUUUGACAAAGGAAAUUACAUCUGUAACUGCAGGAAUAAGAAGCUGGUCUGUUAUUGAAAAAAAAUCUUGGGCCCCUUAAAAGUUACAAAGUCUCGGGCUUGCCUGAAACAACUGAGCAAGAAAUAUAUUCUUAGAAAUGUAGGGCUUCAAGUAUUACAAACCUGUGACACUGUGGAAAAGUUCCAGAGGUAUCUAAACUGCAGCACUUUUUUUUUUUUUCUGCAUAAUGUGAACAAGGCCUGCUGAGGUUUUAAACUAUUAGUCUCUUGAUCGCUCAAAACGGUAGUCGGGAGUUCUCCUCUUGGCAACGUCAAGCCAUAGUAUGUUCUCAUUUUGCUUUCGCUCUACGUGAAAAACGCGUGCUAUCUUUCCUAAUUAGUUGGUGCCACAUCACAGUGCGUAAUUUUAUUUGGUUCUUGCAUUACAGUUUUAACAAGCUCGGCCGACCUAUUCGGACAGGCGCAUCUCCUAACCAGCGACGUCAUUUCUUCUCCCCGCCCCGCCUCCCCUCUUUCAUUCAGAGAAAUCGUUUCAACGGGUUCCCUGGGUUCCCUCGGUUAAAAACUGUGGUGCAAGAACACCAAACUGAUCGUGUACAGUGAAUUUCAGAGACGCAACGAGCUUAUUGAACACACUACGUUUCUUAAUUCGGCUUGGUAUCCGUAUGUCCCAGCAUCCGCAACGUACCGCGGAUGUUGCGGGUUUCUCUCUGUUUAUUCUGAUUUCACAUUGCAUACUUCCUAUGGACUGAAUCAUCCCCGUAUCAAAAUCAGUCAGAUGCUAAAGCCCCAACAACUCUUUGUGCUCAGUGAAAGAAUCCAGUGCUAAAACAGCAUUUUCGCUGUCUGAGAUAACAGUAAUCUCACAAGACAAAUUUAAAGUAAUAUUUCUGCCACACACCUGCUCUGAAGGCUCCGCGCCUCCAGAUUUCAUAUAAAUUAGUUUAAAAACAUGGGUAGGUAGGUAAGGACGAGGGCUGUUGUUUUUUGUUUUUUUUCUCUUCAAUUUUAGCAGCUUUUAAUUUUUAAGAAACCAAACAACCUAUAUCCAGUAAUACGUUAGAUAUUUUAUAUAUAUACUUUGUCA